rnacentral:lncRNA from 1 species
GCUGGUAAGGAAGUCAACUGCCUUCACAUCAGGUGAUAGAUCUCUACGUAUUAUAUUGGCUAAAGAAAGCUCAGCCCUUUCUAAGGUCCCGAGCUGGUGGUUGACAGUAAUCCCAUCCCACUGCAAAUUCUUAACAUCUGAAGCAAAUAUGCUUACUGUUGUACACCACUCCGAACGCCAAUCAAUGCGUACAUCUUCAAUCUUACGACCGAUGAUUUUCAGUCGACGAACUGUCCAACUGUUGCUCGAAAUACUAAAUGAUUUUAGUGAUGAGCUCUCAAUGAUGAUAUCACCUACCCCAUUCUCUAGAUGGAUCCUACUGAUAUCAAUGUCAAGAAUUUCAACCUUGCACCUUAAAGCAUUUUCGAUCCACGAAAUAAACCGACGUCCUACCCCCUCACAAAUGCAUGGGGUUUCAUUUCCAAAAAUAUGUUCGCGGACGUCAAAUCUAAUACCUAAAUGAAGGAUUCUGUUCUCCCCACGAUGGUCUAAGAACCUAUCCACAGCAUUUGCGAACCUAGACCACUUAUCACAAGUUGAUAUAUCUACUUUAGACAAAUCUAAUCUGAAACUGGGAGUUGACAAAUGGAGCUCCUUGCAGCGUUUGGAUAAACUCCCAAAGCGAGAGAGGUCUCCAAAUGGAAGCAACGAAAGGAUUCCAUGAGCAAUUUCGUCUGAAAGACUACUCAGCCUAUCCACCCUAAACUCUAGACUAACUCUGGGAACUUUUUCACUACUCGUACUUGCCCUACAAGUCUCCAUUUACCUGCUCUACAAAAUAACAUAGUAUAAGGAUGCCUUUGCUAGCCGGAGGAGAGAUACAGAGAGAAAGAGAGGGGAAGAAAAGCUUACCUUUGCUUAACGGCGACAAGAGGGUGAAGAUGAUGAGCUUGUUUUGAAGGAUUUGCGAUGAGAGGGGUUGUCUUUCGGGAGUUAAAAAGUCAAAGGUGAAUAAAUAAUAAAUAUGCAUUAAAUAAUAUAAAAUAUUAUUAUAGUAUUUAAUAAAAUAUUACUAUAUAUGUAUAAAUUAAUAUAAUAUUAUAAUUUCUUAAUUAUCUUUUUUUUAAUUUGACACUGCACUAAAUGUUUCACUAAGUUAGUCCAGUUUAAAUCCCACCCCCAUAUUUUCAUCCUAUUUCUAUUUUUCCCCUAGAACAUAUUUGUUAUCUAUCAAUUUAGUCACUUAUUUUCUUUCAAUUCUAACCCUUGAUCUGGAAAUGCUAUUGUUCUUAAACUGCCAUGUGGCAGCUCUCAUAUCUCUCUCUUCUUCCCUCUAUUCCCGAAACACUCCCCAUCAUAGAACCUUUCUCUUUUGUUUAUUUUUUUUCAGUUCUUCUCUCUCUCUCUCUCUCUCACUCUCUAAGCUCCGAGAGCUUCUCUCUAACUUUCACCUCACUUCCUUCACAAAUCAAACCCCAAAAACCAUUUCCAUUUCUUAAAAUUCCAUCUUUUGGGUAGUUUAUUAAAUUGUACAUUUUCGUGCUUAGGUGAAGUUGCUAGUGGAGACUUUCUUAAUCAUUUUCCACACAAUUCUGCUGCUACGGAGUAUCUGUGAGUGGAUCACCUUCGAAAAUUGCAUGUUUUAUUGAUAGAAUUGCAUAAUUUAAUAGCAUGACUUGCAUAAUUAUUGAUUUGAGGAAUACUUUACAGGAAGCAUGAUGAUUUGAUUAUACGUGAUUAUAUAUAUAUGUUUUGAAUUAUUUCCAUUAUAUCGUAUUUUCUAUAGAACCCUCAUUCUGGUAGACUAUCUGAUCGAUGACGAUAGGAUGCUAAGAAUGUGUUUCAAAUGACUUUCGAACACCUCUUCGUAGUAUAGAGGAUCAAUGAAUUUAUGCUACGAAGUUGUAUUUUAGAGAUGAAUUAUGUUUUGUGCAUACCUAGUGAACACUAUGCCGCUUGGGGCGAGGAUCUGGUGUUGGCAUUGAGGCCGGGAGAAAUAAUCCCUAGCGAAAGGCUAAGGGACACAGAGACAUGCAUUGGGCCGGGAGGGAGAUAUCUCUGGCUACGGGCACAUAGACUGAGGUGCAGACAUUGGGCCGGGAGUAUUAUUAUUCAGUGCACUCACUAGCAGCACAACUUGUGUUAUGCUUCCUGAUACGAUUUCUGAUACGAUUCCUGAUACGAUUUCUGAUACGAAUCCUGAUACGAUUUCUGAUACGAAUCCUGAUAUGAUUUCUGAUAUGAUUUUCUGAGAUUGAUUUGCAGAUGAAUAUAUGAAUUGUUUUUAUGGCAUGCUAGAGUUUUCUGAAAAGCUUAUCACUUAUUAUUCUAGUAGUUUUCAUAAUUAAACUGUGGGGGUUAGUAUGUUCAUAAUUGUUUUCGUACUACGUAUGUAUAUAAACUUGGUCCACUCACCCUUGUUUUGCGCCCCCAUUCAAGUCUUAGAAACGAGGCAUAGAAUCCCGGCAUUAAGGUACUUCCGCAACGGCAUCUUCGAGUCCUCUCGGGGUAGGACCCACUCCUUUGUUCAUUCAAUCUUAUCUUAAUUCUUGUUAGUGACUAGGUUUAGCUGUAUGCUCUGAACAUGUUCCUAAAUUGUUAAUUCAUUGUUUUUUUUUUAUUCAUAACCCAUAUUUAUUUCUUAUUCCUAGCUUUUGUAUCAAUUAAUGGCUUUUGUCACCCUCGGGUGUCGGCCAGCACGUGCCUAUCUUGGUAUUCGGGUAAUAUCAGGGUUGGGGCGUGUCAGCGGCCGCCCAUCUUCUCAUUGGAAAUCAAGCUCAGGAGCGACAAUCCACCCCUCUGAUGUCGUCGAAAAACCUGCAAGGUGAAGUCAUGGCUGCUGUAGGCUGCAUAUCUUUGCAACGACUGUGUUUUCUUUUGUUAUAAACAAGUCCAUGAAAAUGAUGGACUCCCUUGUCCUCCUUGAGUUUGCUUGGUAAUGGGAAGGGGGACGCGGGUUGUUGUUUGAUGCGUCUGGGUAUUUCUUCCCCUUGCAUUACCAGGUUGUCUCUGCUGUUUGCCUCUGGGUAGGCUUCUAUUGUUCUUGUGGCUUCUGUGCCCUGGUUUAAUCGAUUCCAGUUUAUCCAAAAAAAAAAAAAAAAAACAAGUCCAUGAAAAUGAUGCAUCGUUUCGUUUGCCUUUAAAACUGUAAAUAUAAUAGACAUUGGACGACGUCGUUUGAGCAUAAAAAAUAAACACAACAUAAGGGGGACCAUUUGUCCCCAUUAACCCUCGCAUAUUCAUUCACUUCCCCAAUUCCCACCCCACUGCCGUGCCUUGUGCCUUUUUAAAAUUUAAAUGGUUAAUUCCUAAUUUAACAUAAAUGUUUGCUUAAUUGACUUUCUUUAUAAGAAUUAUAAUGUAAUAUGGGUAUUGAUUAUUGAUAUGAAUCAUGUGAUUAUUGAUAUGAAUCAUGUGAUUAUUGAUAUGAAUCAUAUGAUUAUUGAUGAAUAAGUGGAUAUGUUUAUUCCUUGGAAUUUAAAGAAUUGAAUCUUGAAGCAUUUUUUACCUGAUUUUUAUUGUAAUUUGAUCAUUGAUUUAGACUAGCUUUUUCACUAGUUUGAUCCUUCAUUUUUGCUGCUAAUUUCACUGUGGGAAUCAGAUGAUGCCUCAAACUUGUAGAUUUUUAGGCAAAAUUUAGCUACCAUUUCGAAAGGGUGUAGCUUUUGUCAAAAUUUAAUGCUUGAAAGGGGUUGACGUAUCAGCUAUUGCUUAAAGUUGCAGUUUUUAUUUUGAAAAAAAAAAGUUAAUUUUUAUUAGGUAAAUAUGUUUUCAAAAAACUCAAAUUGUUAUGAUAAAUCACUGUUUUCACAUUUGGCAUAUCACACUAGAGUUGCUUGUAUAGGCUUCGUUUGGAUUAUAUGGUUUUACUAGCAAACAAUGCCCCGCACAAUGCUGCGGGAUUGAAAACGAUAUAAAAUUUUGUAUAGUACUAUUUACAUACAAAAGAUUUAGUAGAUAGUCCUAUUAAAAAUCAUAUAGAAUCUAGAAACAAUCAGAUUGUGAUAGAUAAGCUUAAUAUGUGCAUACCCCUAUUUACUUUGAACUCCCCUGCAUACAACAACAACGAAGUCUUAACUUACAAAAAUCACAGAUCAAAUUAAAUAAAAAAUCCAAUAAAACUUAAUCACAAAUUUCAUCUGGAUAAUUAUAAAAUACAACAACAACAACAACAACAACAAAGCCUUUUCCCACUAAGUGGGGUCGGCUAUAUGAAUCCUAGAACGCCAUUGCGCUCGGUUUUGUGUCAUGUCCUCCGUUAGAUCCAAGUACUCUAAGUCUUUUCUUAGAGUCUCUUCCAAAGUUUUCCUAGGUUUUCCUCUACCCCUUCGGCCCUGAACCUCUGUCCCGUAGUCACAUCUUCGAACCGGAGCGUCAUUCGGCCUUCUUUGCACAUGUCCAAAUCACCGGAGCCGAUUUUCUCUCAUCUUUCCUACAAUUUCGGCUACUCCUACUUUACCUCGGAUAUCCUCAUUCCCAAUCUUAUCCUUUCUCGUGUGCCCACACAUCCCACGAAGCAUCCUCAUCUCCGCUACACCCAUUUUGUGUACGUGUUGAUGCUUCACCGCCCAACAUUCUGUGUCAUACAACAUCGCUGGCCUUAUUGCCGUCCUAUAAAAUUUUCCCCUUGAGCUUCAGUGGCCUACGACGGUCACACAAACACGCCGGAUGCAUUCUUACACUUCAUCCAUCCAGCUCGUAUUCUAUGGUUGAGAUCUCCAUCUAAUUCUCCGUUCUCUUGCAAGAUAGAUCCUAGGUAGCGAAAACGGUCGCUUUUUGUGAUCUUCGCUAGAUUGCUCCGGUCAUUAGCGUGGAUAAGUAUAUAAAUGGAUAGAGAUAGGAAAGCAAACACAAGAUGUAUGUGGUUCACCCAGAUUGGCUACGUCCACGGAAUAGAAGAGUUCUCAUUAAUUGUGAAGGGUUUACACAAGUACAUAGGUUCAAGCUCUCCUUUAGUGAGUACAAGUGAAUGAUUUAGUACAAAUGACAUUAGGAAAAUAUUGUGGGAGAAUGAUCUCGUAAUCACGAAACUUCUAAGUAUCGGAGUGUGGUGUCGUUUUGACUUGCCUUAUCUGUCUCAUAGGUAGAUGUGGCAUCUUCUCUGGAAGUACUCUUCCUCCAUCCAGGGGUGGUAUCUUUAACUGGUGGAGAUGCACAAGGUAAUGUAUCAAUUUCACUUGAAGCUUACUUGUAGUUUCAGGCUUGGUCAAGCGCGAUACAAACCAUGUAGUAGGAGUCCCCCAAGUCGCCGAGCUAGGGGGUCUGCUGAAAGAGGUGACAGACAAGGUAAGCAAUCAGAGCUCCGACUGAUUGUUCACCUUCUCCCCAUCUUGCAGCAGCAUGAAGGAUAAAGAGAAGAAAAAUGAGAAGAGAUGAUAUGAGAUACUUUUGCUUUUGAAGAAGUAACUUUCCACAGGCUUAUUCUUGAACUGAGCUGGAGGGUUUUUCUGGUUUCCUCCAGAGUAUAAGGCCGACUGAAGAAUUUGAGGGUCAAAACAAGUCCAUCAAAUCUAGAGUACGUUCCACCCUGCUGAUAUGGGAUACUUUUGCUUUUGACAGAGUAAUGGAUGUAUCGGCACGUGUGCUGUUACGCUUGUCUCCACAUGCUUUCCUUGUAUCCUUCGCACUUGCCCUAUCUGUUCCUCAAGCAGAUGCGGAAUCUUCCCUGGAAAAUAUAAGAUGUUGAAGAUGAGUACUCGAGAGCAAUGCCAGGUAAGUAAUCAGGUAAGGGGUUCCAGGCAGUCAGUUCAUGGCUGGAAGCUUGAUUCCAAGUGCUGACUGAUUGCUCUCUUUCUCCUUGUCUUGCAGGUAAAAACAAGGCCAAAGGAAAAGACAGGGAAAAAGCAUGAUAUGGGAUACUCUUGCUUUUAACCCUGAUGAUAUGAGAUAUUCUUGCUCUAGUAUAUCUUGUUUGCAGAGGUAUUAUCGGGGGGAAGGAAAGCUGAAUAUUUCGAAAGGCUUCGUUGGGAGUGCCCUCUCAGAUAUGAUGAAGGGUUGAGCAUUUUUGCAGGUCUGCCUGUCUGUUGGGGAUGGAGGUCGACAUAUAUAGGAGUCUCCCUAACAGAAGUAGUAAUGCUAUUCCUUUACCCUGCUUGGUCAUAGCACGGUAGUGGGAGCUGCCAGUUUCACAUGUUUUAACUCUGUCAGAGCACUUUGAAAAAGUGGUCUGUGGUAUCUGGCUCUCGAGAUUCGGAGAACAAUGCCUCUUCGAUUUUUGAGAAAGCAAUCAUGCUGGGGGUCUGGCUCUCGAGAUUCGGAGAGCAGUGUCUCUUCGAUUUUUUAGAAAGUAAUCAUGUUGGGAGUUUGGCUCUCGAGAUUCGGAGGGCGGUGCCUCUUCGAUUUUGGAGCAAGCAAUCUUGUUGGGAGUGUUGUCUCGAAUGUGAGUAAAGGUUGGGCAUGUUUGCUAGUCUACCUUGCCACGAAGCACAAAGGUUGACACACAUGGACUUUCCAAUUAUCCAGCAAUGGUACUGUUCCUUUACCCUCUCUUCGAUUUUGAGAAAGUAGUCAUGUUGGGAGUCUGGCUCUCGAGAUUCGGAGGACGGUGUCUCUUCGAUUUUGGAGCAAGCAACCUUGUUGGGAGUGUUUUCUCGAAUGUGAGUAAAGGUUGGGCAUGUUUGCUAGUCUACCUUGCCACGAAGCACAUAGGUUGACAAACAGGGACUUUCCAAUUAUCCAGCAGUGGUACUGUUCCUUUACCCUUGUGGGUAAUAAUAUGGUAGCUAGACCUUCAAAAUUUAUAUGUGUCUAAACUUUGUUAGUGCUGUUUCUUUGCUAUUCUUUUACCUUUCUUGGUCAGAGCGAUUUAGUGGGAGUUGCAAGCUUCACGUGCUCAACUUUGGCAGAGAACUUUGGCAAAGUUAUCUGUGGUACCCAUGAGCUAUUGUUGCGUGUGGGAAGUGGGUGAUUGAACAGUAAGAUUUAUGUGCUUUCUACUUCACCAGAAGUCUUCGACAGAAUGCCCAUAAUUUCUGCAAAGCUGAGUGUGCGUGUGACAGGUGCUGACAAGGCUAGAAAAGUAGGUGCCUCUUCGAUUUCUGAGAUCGGCCCUCGUGGUCUCUAAGCAGCCCAGCUUUUGAGAAAGCGAGAGCCUCUUCGAUUGAUUCGGAGAACGAUGCCUCAUCGAUUUUUGAGAAAGCAAUCAUGCUGGGGGUCUGGCUCUCGAAGAUUCGGGGAGCAGUGUCUCUUCGAUUUUUGAGAAAGUAAUCAUGUUGGGAGUCUGGCUCUCGAGAUUCGGAGGGCGGUGCCUCUUCAAUUUUGGAGCAAGCAAUCUUGUUGGGAGUAUUUUCUCGAAUGUGAGUAAAGGUUGGGCAUGUUUGCUAGUCUACCUUGCCACGAAGCACAGAGGUUGACACACAGGGACUUUCCAAUUAUCCAGCAAUGGUACUGUUCCUUUACCCUCUCUUCGAUUUUUUAAUAAAGUAGUCAUGUUGGGAGUCUGGCUCUCGAGAUUCGGAGGACGGUGCCUCUUCGAUUUUGGAGCAAGCAAUCUUAUUGGGAGUGUUUUCUCGAAUGUGAGUAAAGGUUGGGCAUGUUUGCUAGUCUACCUUGCCACGAAGCACAGAGGUUGACACACAGGGACUUUCCAAUUAUCCAGCAGUGGUACUGUUCCUUUACCCUUGUGGGUAAUAAUAUGGUAGCUAGACCUUCAAAAUUUAUGGGUCUAAACUUUGUUAGUGCUGUUUCUUUGCUAUUCUUUUACCCUUCUUGGUCAGAGCGAUGUAGUGGGAGCUGCAAGCUUCACGUGCUCAACUUUGGCAGAGAACUUUGGCAAAGUUAUCUGUGGUACCCAUGAGCUAUUGUUGCGUGUGGGAAGUGGGUGAUUGAACAGUAAGAUUCAUGUGUUUUCUACUUCCCCAGAAGUCUUCGACAGAAUGCCCAUAAUUUCCGCAAAGCUGAGUGUGCGUGUGACAGGUGCUGACAAGGCUGGAAAAGUAGGUGCCUCUUCGAUUUCUGAGAUCGGCCCUCGUGGUCUCUGGGGAGCCCAGCUUUUGAGAAAGCGAGCGCCUCUUCGAUUUCUGAGAUCAGGCCUUCGUGGUCUUUGAGCAGCCCAACUUUUGAGAAAGCAAACGCCUCUUCGAUUUCUGAGAUCAACCCUCGUGAUCUCUAAGCAGCCCAGCUUUUGAGAAAGCAAACGCCUCUUCGAUUUCUGAGCAGGCGCCUCUUCGAUUUCUGAAGCUCCGUCGAGUGCAGAUUUUUAUAGGGGCUGGCAUUAAGUUCCAAAGCACACUUGAAUCUCCACCAGUAGAAGCUUCAUUCUUGCACUUCUAAGAUCUUGAUUUGUCCGACCUCUUCUCUUUUCAACACCUUUGAAAAUGUCUGGCCCCUCCGACCGUCGUUUUGACUUGAACCUUGUUGAAGAGGCAGCCCCGCCUUCUCCAGACAACAUAUGGCGCCCAUCCUUCGUCUCCCUUACUGGUCCUCUUACCGUUGGGGAUUCCGUGAUGAAGAAUGAUAUGACCGCUGCGGUGGUGGCCAGGAACCUUCUCACUCCCAAAGAUAACAGACUACUUUCCAAACGGUCUGAUGAGUUAGCUGUUAAGGAUUCGCUGGCUCUCAGUGUUCAGUGUGCAGGUUCUGUGUCUAAUAUGGCCCAACGCCUAUUUGGUCGAACCCGCCAAGUUGAAUCAUUGGCGGCUGAAGUGAUGAGUCUCAAACAGGAGAUUAAAGGGCUCAAGCAUGAGAAUAAACAGUUGCACCGGCUCGCACAUGACUAUGCUACAAACAUGAAGAGGAAGCUUGACCAGAUGAAGGAAACUGAUGGUCAGGUUUUACUUGAUCAUCAGAGAUUUGUGGGUUUGUUCCAAAGGCAUUUAUUGCCUUCGUCUUCUGGGGCUGUACCGCGUAAUGAAGCUCCAAAUGAUCAACCUCUGAUGCCUCAUCCUUCUAGGGUUCUGUCCAGUACUGAGGCUCCAAAUGAUCCCCCUCCGGUGCCUUCUCUUUUCUGGGGCUCUACCGACUGCUGAGACUUCUCCUAAGCAACCUUUGUGAAGGCUCCCUCUUGUGUGUUUAUUUUGACUCAUGUAUAUGUACAUAUUUGUAGCUUAUCGGGGAUAUCAAUAAAUAAGCUUUCCUUCAUUUCAACGUAUUGUGUUAAAUACACCAAAGCCUUUUUCGCUAAGUUCUUUGAAUUUUCUUUUGUUGAAGCUUGUAUGUUGAAGCUUUCUGAGUGGAGCAUGUAGGUUGGGGUAGUGUUCCCUUAAUUUUCCGAGUGAGGAAAACUUCUCGGUUGGAGACUUGGAAAAUCCAAGUCACUGAGUGGGAUCGGCUAUAUGAAUCUUAGAACGCCAUUGUGCUCGAUCCUGUGUCAUGUCCUUCUUUAGAUCCAAGUACUCUAAGUCUUUUCUUAGAGUCUAUUCCAAAGUUUUCCUAGGUCUUCCUCUACCCCUUCGGCCCUGAACCUCUGUCCCAUAGUCGCAUCUUCUAAUCGGAGCGUCAGUAGGCCUUCUUUGCAUAUGUCCAAACCACCGUAACCGAUUUUCUCUCAUCUUUCCUUCAAUUUCGGCUACUCCUACUUUACCCCGGAUAUCCUCAUUCCUAAUCUUAUCCUUUCUCGUGUGCCCACACAUCCAACGAAGCAUCCUCAUCUCCGCUACACCCAUUUUGUGUACGUGUUGAUGUUUCACCGCCCAACAUUCUGUGCCAUACAGCAUCGCCGGCCUUAUUGCCGUCCUAUAAAAUUUUCCCUUGAGCUUCAGUGGCAUACGGCGGUCACAUAACACACGCCGGAUGCACUCUUCCACUUCAUCCAUCCAGCUUGUAUUCUAUGGUUGAGAUCUCCAUCUAAUUCUCCGUUCUUUUGCAAGAUAGAUCCUACUAGGUAACGAAAACGGUCGCUCUUUGGUAUUUCUUGAUCUCCGAUCCUCACCCCUAACUCGUUUUGGCCUCCAUUUACACUGAACUUGCACUCCAUAUAUUCUGUCUUUGAUCGGCUUAGGCGAAGACCUUUAGAUUCCAACACUUCUCUCCAAAGGUUAAGCUUUGCAUUUACCCCUUCCUGAGUUUCAUCUAUCAACACUAUAUCGUCUGCGAACAGCAUACACCAAGGAAUAUCAUCUUGAAUAUGUCCUGUUAACUCAUCCAUUACCAACGCAAAAAGGUAAGGACUUAAGGAUGAGCCUUGAUGUAAUCCUACAGUUAUGGGAAAGCUUUCGGUUUGUCCUUCAUGAGUUCUUACGGCAGUCUUUACUCCUUCAUACAUAUCCUUUAUAGCUUGGAUAUAUGCUACUCGUACUCCUUUAUUCUCUAAAAUCCUCCAAAGAAUGUCUCUUGGGACCCUAUCAUACGCUUUUUCCAAAUCUAUAAAGACCAUGUGUAAAUCCUUUUUCCCAUCUCUAUAUCUUUCCAUCAAUCUUCGUAAGAGAUAGAUUGCCUCCAUGGUUGAGCGCCCCUGGCAUGAACCCGAAUUGGUUGUCCGAAACCCGUGUCUCUUGCCUCAAUCUAUGCUCAAUGACUCUCUCCCAGAGCUUCAUUGUAUGACUCAUUAGCUUAAUACCCCUAUAGUUCAUGCAAUUUUGUACGUCGCCCUUAUUCUUGUAGAUAAGCACCAAAGUGCUCGUUCGCCACUCAUUUGGCAUCUUCUUCGUUUUCAAAAAUCCUAUUGAAAAGGUCAGUGAGCCAUGUUAUACCUGUCUCUCCCAAAAGUUUCCACACUUCGAUUGGUAUAUCGUCUGGGCCUAUUGCUUUUUUAUGCUUUAUCUUCUUCAAAGCUACAACCACUUCUUCCUUCCGGAUUCGACGAUAAAAAGAGUAGUUUCUACACUCUUCUGAGUUACUCAACUCCCCUAAAGAAGCACUCAUUUCAUGUCCUUCAUUGAAGAGAUUAUGAAAAUAACCUCUCUCAUCUGUCUUUAACCGCGUUCUCUGUGUAGCAAGAACCUUUCCAUCCUCAUCAUUGAUGCACCUCACUUGGUUUAGGUCCCUUGUCUUCUUUUCCCUUGCUCUAGAUAGUUUAUAGAUAUCCAACUCUCCUUCUUUGGUAUCUAGUCGUUUAUACAUAUCGUCGUAAGCCGCUAACUUAGCUUCUCUGACAGCUUUCUUCGCCUCUUGCUUCGCUUUUCUAUACCUUUCACCAUUUUCAUCGGUCCUCUCCUUGUAUAAGGCUUUACAACAUUCCUUCUUAGCCUUCACCUUUGUUUGUACCUCCUCAUUCCACCACCAAGAUUCCUUUUGGUGUGGGGCAAAGCCCUUGGACUCUCCUAAUAUCUCUUUUGCUACUUUUCGGAUACAACUAGCCAUGGAAUCCCACAUUUGGCUAGCUUCCCCAAGAAGAUUAAAAGGGUCAAAUGAGUGAAUUAGGAAUUUAGGAGAAGACAUAAAUACUUAUAAAUAAAAAUAAAAAAUAAACCAAAAUCAAUAUUAACAUUUUCUAUUCAUGUUCAUGGUUCUCUACAUAAAGCAUAUUUGUUGAUUUGGUAAUGCUAAAGAGACUAAAUUUAUAGACAAAAUUUGCAAACUAAAUGAUGUGUCACCAAUAGAAAUGAGCACAUUUAUCGUCACUUAAGUCAUAAUUCAAAUCCAAUCAUCAACUUCUAUAUUACUUAGUUUGCAAAAUUUAAUUUACAAAUUUUAUCUUAUUAGCAUUACCCUAAAUGAUUUAAAAGUUAAAGCAAAGGCUUUGGCCUUUUACGGCAUAUUAAAUACCUUCCCUUUCCUCCAAAAAAAAAAAUAAAAAAUAAAAAACCUCCCUUAGUUUGAAAAAUAAAACGACUUUGCAUCAGCAGCAAGCUUUGUUUUUCAGUCUUUUUUUAUCCUAAUCCACCUUUUAUGACAUAUUGUUUUUCAGUCUUUUUUUUUAAUUUUUUUUUAUCAUAAUCCAUCCUUUUGUUGGUCUGAGACAUUUCAUCUCUAUUUCCUCACAAAAUCUCCCUGAUUAUUCAGCCAUUUAUUUACAUCUGUGAAAUUCAAAUUCAAACUUAGCAGAACGCACAAACCAAACUUAGAUUAGGAAAAAUCCUCAAUUUCUCAAAAUCCCACCAUAUUUUUCAUAUCGAUUGCCCAGCGGCGAGAAAUUUUCGAAUGAGAAAGAUGGGGACUUUUAGAGAGGAACCAAAAACACCAAUCCUCUCCCUUUCAUCUCAGAAACCGAAAUCACUCGUUGCAUGCCUCGUUACGUUCCAGCGAGGAGAGGGUUCUUUUUUGUUAGUUUGGUAGUCGUCCCAACUGGGUCGAGGGGAGAGGAGUGAGAGGAAGAGAGAGAAGGGAGAACCAAGAAAAAGAAAAUAUAAAAUAAAUACAGUAUAUAUAUAUAUGAUGGGUGUAUCAGGAUAUAAUCAAAAUUCGUGUAAAAUUAGGAGGGUAAAAUCGACAGACCAUUGUUCUUAUCAACAGUGUUUUAGGGUAUUUUCAGCUUUUGUAUAUAUUAAAUUUGAAUGGACAAACUUGUAAAUUCAAUCCUCUUGACCGAACGAGGAUAUAAUCAAAAUUAGUGUAAAAUUAGGAGGGUAAAAUCGACAGACCAUUGUUCUUAUCAACAGUGUUUUAGGGUAUUUUCAGCUUUAGUAUAUAUUAAAUUUGAAUGGACAAACCUGUAAAUUCAAUCCUCUUGACCGAACGAGGCCAUAUGGUAAUAUGAUCGAAGAGAUGGACAUCACUACAAUGCCCCUUUCCCUUAAAGCUAUUGAACGAGUAGCAAAUUUGCAGCAUAAAAUUUCAUCAGCACUUGUUUGUCUUGAUCAAGGUAUUAAAUAUCGGUAAUAUCGGAAAUAUCGGUAGUCCGAAAAUACGGAAAUAUCGAUGGAAAUAUUGGGAUAAUAUCGAUAUCGAUAAAAAUUACAUGGAAACCACGGAAAUUGUAAGAAAAACUUGUAAAUUUUUAUUGAAACUUUGCAGGAUGUUUAUUUAGUCAAUUAUCUAUUAGUUUAUCACAAAAAAUUGGAAGGAAAUGCAUUGCAUAAUGGAUUUAACAUGAUCAAGUUGAUUAUAUAGCGAGCUGACAAACAUUGUGAGUGUAGAAAAUAUGUAGUAAUUAAUGAAAGAAGUUUAAACACACCAAUUGGGGCUUAUUGUGGCAAGUUUUUUAGAUAUGACCUCGCAUCAAGUCGUCUUUUGUGUUAAUUUGUAAUCUUAACUGGUUUUGUUGUGUUGUGUCAAUUAGUUAAAUUAAGCGGUACAUCCAAUUGGGGCUUAUAAACAUUUUAAUUCUCCUUAAAAAUCUAAGGGCAUUUAAUCAGGAUUUUAAGUGAUUCUUUAAAGUUUAAGGGGUAUUCGAUCAUGAUUUUUAAGAAAUUCAUACAUUCCAAAUGUAUUCAUUUAGAAAUUGAUUCGAAGAGAUUUUUAAAAAGUUGGGAAACUCGAAAAAAUUAGAAAUAUUUCACAUACUAUUUUAAACAUUCUCAAAUCGCUCUAUGAAAAUUUGAGGGAAUUCACUUAAAAUUUUACAUAAAAGUUUUAAAAAUUAUUAAACUUCAUCAAAAUGCAUAAAUUUUUAAAUCUAUUAUAAUCCUUUAAAAUCUGAAUGGAGUAAAAAAUUCAAAUCUAAAUCUAAUAUGAAACAAUCACUAGAUUACAUAGAAUUUCUAAACCAAAUCUAACAAGGAUCAAUUACAAUUCUAAUACGAUGUUGUAAUUACUUGGAGUUUUUUAGGGCAAUAUGUAACACCCACCCCCAUUUAUAAAGAUAUAUUUGUGUAAUUAUCCCCUAAACAUUUUAAUAUAUCAAAUUGGUCCUCUUUGACUACCCAAUCAGGAUCCAAAACAUUGGAUCCCUUUCUUUCUGAAGUGGCCACGUGGCAGCCCCCCUCCACUCUUCUCUUUUCUCUCUCUUUUCUCCCGUGACUCCCUUCUUCUUUUCUUCUUCUUUCUGUUUUCUUUUCUUUUUCUUCUGUCUCCCUCUCGGCUCGCUCUCUCAUAUCUCCCUCAUCUAUCUUCUCUGCACCACAGCACGCACGCACCCAUCUCCCUGCGCGAGGAACAUCACCAUCACCAUCUCGUCCUCAUGGCCGCGCUCCACGCCCUUCGGCACCACCGGCCGUGUCAAAGGCGUUAUGUUGACUCACCGCAAUUUCAUCGCCCUCAUGGCCGCGCUCCACGCCCUUCGGCGUAAACCUGACCCGACCCUACCCGACGGCCAAGGCGUGUUGCUGUUCACGUGCCUCUGUUCCACGUGUUUGGGUUCUUCGUGGUUGUUCGGGGCGGUGGCUACGGGCGAGACCUUGGUUUUGAUGGAGCUCUCUGGUUCGUCUUCGACUCGAAGAUAACAAGUUUUCAGGUGAGAUUCCAUUGAAAUUCAGCACUCUGACCGACAUCACAUAUGUUGAUUACCUCUUGCAUGCGUGAAAUUUGAACCUUAUAUGUGAAAUUUAAGUUCAAAAUCGUGUUUUCGCAAGGUUUUUGGGACAAAAUCGGCUCAGGAAUAGGCACACCAUUUCCGGCGUUCUUCUCUGAUUGCACCGUUAAAAAAAUAUCGCGAUAUUUUAACGAAAACCAUUCGGAUACCUAUUUAAAUAUCCAUUGCGCAAAAAACUGAUAAUAUCGGCGAUAUUUUGCCGAUAUUAUCGGCAUUUUCUUCCAUGGUCUUGAUAAAUAUAUGAACAAAAUUAAUUUUGUCUAUUAUAUAAAAGAAUUUGGUUGUCUACAUUUAUUUUGGAACCCUUUACUCUUUUAAAUUUCGUCCCUCCCCCAGAAAUUAGUUCAGUUUAAGAUAGUUCGAUACAACAAAGACACGUUAGUAAGUGGAUGCCACAUGUUGUAUUUUAGAGAGGCUACAGAGACAAUGUGGCUUUUUGGGUGCAUAAGAUUUUAGUCUCCCUAAAGUUCAUACAUGAUUACUUACACGCACACUUGAGUUCACUCGCUCGCCAAGAUCCACUAUGGCCAUACCAGCACCUCUCUCAGUUCUCCAAUCUCAAUGCUUUCCUUUUCCGCUUCCUCAAUCUUCCGCCGCGAUCUCACACUGACUAAUUGUUGGAAGUUUGAGUAGAAAUUUCCUUGUCCCACAUUGGCCAUUCCCAAAAGAGUUUAUCACUUUAUAAGGCUUUGUCCUUUAAAGAAAGUAAUUGGAGUAAUAGGCCUGGAGACUAAAAUUGGGCUCACCCUUGGGGUUGGGCUUUGGGGUGUAUUAAUUAUUUGGUAAUUAAUAUAUAAUUAAUUAUAUAUUUAAUUGUCAAAAGAUGGGCCUUGGGGCUCUUGGGCUCUAAUAAUUAAAUUAAUUAAUUAUUUUCGGAAUUAAUUAAUUAUUUUUAAUUUCGAAUUUAAAUUAAUUAAUUAUUUUUUUUUUCCAAUAGACUCAUCUUUUCAGAUGAAGUCUGAAGUGUGAAAACGCAGAAACAAAAACACCCAUUUCAGCAGAUGUCUCCCAACAGUUGCAUCCCUUCCUUAUACCUGUUGUGAACAGGUACAAUCACAUUAUAUAUACAUCCAUCUGCAUGGCAUUUACAAUAUAGAAAAAUCAUAAAUCUCCUCCUGCAAUCUUAAACAUCCUUACUGAGAGAACCACACUAAUAUUCACCAGAAGUCUAUUUUCCGGUGCUGGAAUUUCUGACUUAGAUCGUUGAAUCCUGGUGGAACAGACGUCCGUAGAACUACAAGCACAUAGUAGGGACGAAAUUUCUGUUUCAAGAUUGUUGGAUAUAAGUCAACAAUCUGUGAUAAUUUAUAUAUGCUAAUAAAUAAUAAAUGCAAUAGAAACUAACAGAAAAUAUGGAUCAACAAUCUGUGAAUGUGAAUGGCGCUGUGCCAAAAUACUCAGAAAAGCCUGAGAAGUUCAAAGGGUUGGACUUCAAGAGAUGGCAACAGAAGAUGUUGUUCUUCUUGACAACAAUGAAUCUCGCUCAUGUUGUUAAGGAAGAAGCUCCGAAGUCUAAUGAGAAUCCAAUGACGAGAGAGACUGUCAUGGCAAUUGAAGCUUGGAAUCAUUCCGAGUUUUGUUGCAGAAACUAUAUCCUGAAUAGUUUGGAUGACAAUCUCUACGACAUUUAUUCUCUGUGCAAGACAGCGAAGGAGUUGUGGGAAUCCCUAGAGAAAAAGUAUAAGAUUGAUGAUGCCGGUUCAAAGAAAUUUGUUAUCGGUAAGUUUCUCAAAUAUACAAUGGUGGAUUCCAAAUCUGUUGUUUCUCAGGUCGAAGAAAUCCAGAAGUUGAUCUAUGAAUUGCAUUCUGAGGGAUGCGAGAUCAAUGAGCAUUUCCAAGUUGGGGCGAUAAUCGAGAAAUUGCCAACUUCCUGGAAUGACUUCAAAAUUUAUCUCAAGCACAAGCGUCGUGAGAUGAAUAUGGAGGAUUUGAUUCUGAGGCUACGUGUGGAAGAAGACCACAGAAAGGCAGACCGUUCUGGAGGGUUUGCAGCCAUUGAAGCCAAUGCGAAUUAUGUUGAAGGAGGAAACUCCAAGGCUAAGCCGAAAAAGAAUAAGGCUCUUGCUCCGAAAACCAAGCAGUUUGUGCAAUCUGCCCUUGCUCCUAAAGGCAAGAAUCUGAAGAAGAUUAAGGGCGCCUGCUAUGUGUGUGGCAAAUCUGGUCACAAGGCACAAGAUUGUUAUCAUCGCAAGGAUGGAAAUCAUGGCCACGGAAACAACAACAACCAUGCUAACAUGGCAACCACCGAUGAAGAAUUGGCUGCUGUUGUGUCCGAGGUUAACAUGGUCUCAAAUGUGAGUGAAUGGUUGAUGGAUACUGGUGCUACAAAGCACAUAUGCGCUGACAGAAAUCUGUUCACAGAAUAUCACCCUGCUGCCCUUGGAGAAAAGCUGUAUAUGGGCAAUUCUGCCACAUCUAUUGUGGAGGGAUAUGGCAAGGUGGUACUCAAAUUCACAUCUGGGAAAAGUUUGACCUUGCUGAAUGUGCUGCAUGUUCCUGAAAUGAGGAGGAACUUGGUUUCUGGACCAAUUCUAAUUGCUAAGGGUUUUAAACUUGUAAUGGAAUCCAACAAACUUGUACUUACCAAGGGUGGGAUGUUUGUUGGAAAGGGUUAUGUGGCUGAUGGCCUUGUGAAACUCAAUGUAAUUGUCAUUGAUGAUGCUAAUAAAAUAAAUGCUUCUACUUAUAUUGUUGAGUCUUCUAAUAUUUGGCAUGCAAGAUUAGGACAUGUUAAUUUUCGUUCCAUGCAUAGAAUGGUUAAAUUAGACUUAUUACCUAAAUUCGAAAUUGAUUUUAAUCAUAAGUGUGAAACAUGUACUGAAUCGAAAUUUGCUAAGCAAACGAGAAAGUCAAUUCUGGAAAGAUCAAAUGAAUUACUUGGAUUAAUUCAUAGUGAUCUUUGUGACUUUAAAUCCACACCAACUCGUGGAGGAAAGAAUUACUAUGUCACUUUUAUUGAUGAUUGCAGUAAGUAUUGCUAUGUUUAUUUGAUUCAUAGCAAGGACGAAGCUUUGAAUAUGUUUAAGACAUAUAAAGCCGAAGUUGAAAAUCAACUUGAGAGAAAAAUCAAAGCACUUAGAUCUGAUAGAGGAGGAGAGUAUGAGUCUACUGCCUUCUCAGAUUUUUGUGCACAACAUGGAAUUAUACAUCAAACAACAGCUCCAUACACACCACAACAAAAUGGUGUUGCCGAAAGAAAAAAUAGAACAUUCAAAGAUAUGAUUAAUUCCAUGUUAAAUAGUUCUGGGCUUCCACACAGUUUGUGGGGUGAAGCUUUGCUUACUGCAAAUUCCAUAUUGAAUAAGGUUCCUCUAAAAAGGAUUGACGAGUCACCUUAUGAGAUAUGGAAAGGACAUAAACCCACUUAUAAAACCCUCAAAGUGUGGGGUUGCUUAGCAAAGGUGCAAGUUCCGUUACCAAAAAGAACGAAACUAGGACCUAAAACUAUUGAUUGCGUAUUCAUUGGAUAUGCAAAUAAUAGUGCUGCUUAUAGGUUCCUUGUUGUGAAAUCUUCGAUUUCUGACAUACAUGUUAACACUAUAUUAGAAUCAGCGGAUGCAGAAUUCUUUGAGGAUAUAUUCCCUUACAAAGAAAAGGAAUCUGGUUCUAAUACAAAGAGGGUUCAUGAUCAUCGUCAUGAUGAAGCCUCUUCUUCUGGUGUCCAAGGAAAUGAUGUGGAACCAAGAAGAGGAAAAAGAAUCAAAGUUUCUAAAAACUUUGGACCAGAUUUCAUUUCUUUCUUGUCCGAGAAUGAACCUAGAACUUUUAAAGAAGCAAUGUCUUCUUCUGAGGCUCCUUUAUGGAAGGAAGCAAUUAAAAGUGAAAUGGAAUCCAUUAUGGAAAAUAACACAUGGGAAUUGGUUGAAUUACCUCCCGGUAGUAAACCAAUUGGUCAUAAAUGGAUUUUCAAGAAGAAACUCAAGGCGGAUGGAACCAUUGACAAGUUCAAGGCACGUUUAGUAGCCAAAGGUUAUCGCCAAAAAGAAGGUUUGGAUUAUUUCGACACCUAUUCUCCAGUUUCUCGCAUAACGUCAAUUAGGACGUUAAUAGCGAUUGCGGCUGUAUACAACUUUGAUAUCCAUCAAAUGGAUGUAAAAACAGCAUUUUUAAAUGGAGAACUAGAUGAAGAAAUAUACAUGGAACAACCUGAAGGGUUUGUGCUUAAAGGACAAGAAAGCAAAGUGUGCAAAUUAGUUAAGUCAUUAUAUGGACUUAAACAAGCACCAAAACAAUGGCACGAGAAGUUUGAUCAUACUUUGUUGACACAUGGGUUCAAAAUAAAUGAAUCUGAUAAAUGUGUCUACAUUAAGGGUAAUGAUAAAACUUGUGUUAUUGUCUGCUUGUAUGUGGAUGAUAUGCUCAUAAUGGGAAGCAAUAAAGAUGUAAUAAACAAAACAAAGAAAAUGUUGAAUUCAAGUUUUGACAUGAAAGACUUAGGUCAAGCCGAUGUCAUUUUAGGAAUUCAAAUUAAGAGAAAUAGUGAAGGAUAUGUCCUUACACAAUCCCAUUAUGCAGAAAAAAUAUUACGAAGGUUUGGUCAAUUUGACUGCAAACCUGCUGCGACUCCUUUUGAUGCUGGAUGCAAGUUGGAGAAAAAUAAAGGCGAUGCCAAAUCUCAACUUGAAUAUUCUCAAGUAAUUGGAAGUCUAAUGUACUUGAUGAAUUCAACUAGGCCCGACUUAGCUUAUGCAGUAAGUAGGCUUAGUAGAUAUACAAGUAAUCCGGCACAAGAGCAUUGGGAUGCUUUAGUAAGAGUGUUAAGGUAUUUGAAAAAUACACUUGACUACGGAUUACACUACACAAAAUAUCCACCUGUUGUAGAAGGCUUCAGUGAUGCCAAUUGGAUUUCUGACACUACAGAAUCCAAGUCGACAAGUGGAUAUGUUUUUACCUUGGGAGGUGCAGCGAUAUCUUGGAAAUCCUCUAAACAGAAAUGUAUAGCUCGGUCCACCAUGGAGUCCGAGUUUAUAGCUUUAGACUUGGCUGGCGAAGAAGCCGAGUGGCUCAAACAUUUUCUGGAGGAUAUUCCAAUGUGGCCAAAGCCGGUAACGGCUAUAUGUAUACAUUGUGAUAGUAUGGCCGCCCAAUCAAGGGCCAAAAGUCAUGUAUACAAUGGGAAGUCACGUCACAUCAGACGUCGACACAAUACUCUUAAGAAGAUGCUCUCCAAUGGAAAAUAAUAUCCAUUGAUUAUGUGAAGUCAAAGGAAAAUAUAGCUGAUCCUUUGACAAAAGGCCUACCAAGAGAGCAAAUAUUAUUUACAUCGAGGGAAAAUGGGUCUUAAGCCAAUUCAAUGAAUCGAACUGGGCGGAAACCUAACCUAGCUGAUUGGAGAUCCCAUGGUCUAGGUUCAAUAGGCAAACUGGUUGAGUUUGAUUCAAAAGUUGAACACACAACUUACCCAUUCUUAUGAUAAAAUGUGUGUUGUCUGUUGACGUUUGAGGGGUUAUGUUUUAUACAUUUAAUGACAUUAAUAUCUUGUUAUCAAGAGGAAUAUGGCAGACUAUUCUUAAUUAAUGUCACCUAUAUAGGAGUAAAUGGGGCCACAUUUAUGAGAAUUGACAUGGCUAAAUUCUCUAAAGCUCCUACGAAAUCCGGGAUCUGUUCAGGGCCAAAAUGAACACAACCGUAUGAAUUGACGUGUGGCAGCCAUGAUAUGUGUGUAGCAUAUUGUCUUGGUUUACUACUGCGGUGAACAGUUCAAGAUCUUCCACAUCCACUGCAUCACCAAGUAAACCCGAUAUGUUUUCACUAGGGUAAGUUCAAGUCCAAAAGACACUUCACCGGAUGCAUAUUAUGACUAUUCUCUCUCAGUUUUAGGCAGCCUAGUCACACAUUUGCAUUUACAUUUGCAUUCAAAUGUGGGGUCAUUGUUGGAGUUUGAAUGAAAUUUCAACUCAAAUGUGGGGUAUUGUUGGAAGUUUGAGUAGAAAUUUCCUUGUCCCACAUUGGCCAUUCCCAAAAGAGUUUAUCACUUUAUAAGGCUUUGUCCUUUAAAGAAAGUAAUUGGAGUAAUAGGCCUGGAGACUAAAAUUGGGCUCACCCUUGGGGUUGGGCUUUGGGGUGUAUUAAUUAUUUGGUAAUUAAUAUAUAAUUAAUUAUAUAUUUAAUUGUCAAAAGAUGGGCCUUGGGGCUCUUGGGCUCUAAUAAUUAAAUUAAUUAAUUAUUUUCGGAAUUAAUUAAUUAUUUUUAAUUUCGAAUUUAAAUUAAUUAAUUAUUUAUUUUUUCCAACAGACUCAUCUUUUCAGAUGAAGUCUGAAGUGUGAAAACGCAGAAACAAAAACACCCAUUUCAGCAUAUGUCUCCCAACAGUUGCAUCCCUUCCUUAUACCUGUUGUGAACAGGUACAAUCACAUUAUAUAUACAUCCAUCUGCAUGACAUUUACAAUAUAGAAAAAUCAUAAAUCUCCUCCUGCAAUCUUAAACAUCCUUACUGAGAGAACCACACUAAUAUUCGCCAGAAGUCUAUUUUCCGGUGCUGGAAUUUCUGACUUAGAUCGUUGAAUCCUGGUGGAACAGACGUCCGUAGAACUACAAGCACAGAGUAGGGACGAAAUUUCUGUUUCAAGGACAUUGCGGUACGCAAGCCUCGAUCUUAAAGUUGUCUGUUUUAUAAUUCAUAUUCUAGUUUAUAUUCUGUUAGUUUCUAUUGCAUUUAUUAUUUAUUAGCAUAUAUAAAUUAUCACAGAUUGUUGACUUAUAUCCAACACUAAUCACACAACAUUGCAAUCUAUUCCUCCCCUGAGUAACUCUAUCCGGCGAAGGCUUUCAUGAUGGUUUUGGAUAUAAGAUGCUCAAUAGUUUGAGCGUAUUGUAUUUGAUGUUUAUAUAGAGAUUACAAGUAGUGUUUGAGUGAAGAACAAACUCUUCAAAGCAAACUAAAGAUAAUAUACAGAUAAUACAAAUAGCAAAUAAUCUAUUUAAAUUCAAAUUCAAACAUCAUUAACAACCAAAGGAUUUGACUGUUUAGAAGUUUUAGCUAAGUCUUCCUUUUGGCUGAUUCGGUUUUGAUCUUCAGUGAGUGUUGUGGCAGGAAGCUUAGAUUUUGAACUUUGUUUAUCACACUCCUGCAAGCUGAGCGGUCGCCGGCGAACGGGAAGCUUGGACAGAAGAUAAUUAAACAGAUAAGUAGACAACCCUUUUGUUAGAAGUUUGCAACCUGAUCUUGGGUAGCGACGUAGCCCACCUAAAGUUCACGGCGAUCACCUUCUCACGGAUAUAAUGGUAGUCCACUUCAAUGUGGUGUGUCCGGGCAUGGAAAACUAGAUUGGAGGCCAUGGAAAUUGCAGAAAUGUUGUCACACCAAACCUUUGGUGGAGAAAGUCGUAUAUAAAGGUCAUUAAAUAACUGGCGAAACCAUGAAAUUGUGACAGCAGUAAUAGCAAGUUGGCGAUACUCAGACUCUGUGCUUGAACGAGAAACACCUUUUUGUUUCUUGGAACUCUGGGAAACAAGGUUAGAACCAAGAAAUAUGCAAUAGCCUCCAGUUGAUAUGCGGUCAUCUGGAUCUCCAGCGUAAUCAGAAUCGGAAAAUGUAGAAAGAGUUAGAGGUCCAGGUUUAUAGACAAGACCAUGAUCAGGUGUAGAUUUCAAAUAACGAAGAAUUCGCUUGACAACAAUCCAGUGUGUAGUGGAAGGUUUGUUCAUGAACUGGCAAACUUGAUUAACAAAGAAUGCAAUAUCUAGACAUGUGAAUGUGAGAUACUGAAGAGCACCUACCAUGCUUCUAAACUCAGUAAUGUCUAACAGGGGUUCGCCAUCGUAGAGACUAAGGCGUUUGCCACUGAUUGCAGGUGUGGAAACUGGUUUGCAAUAAACCAUAUUUGUGCGUUUCAGUAAAUCCAUGAUGUACUUAGACUGAGAUAAAUGCACUUCAUUGCCAAACCGAUGAACCUCCAUGCCCAAAAAAUAAUUCAAGGGACCAAGAUCCUUCAUGGAGAAAGUUGUGCCAUGUCCCUUAUUAAAGUGUUAAUGCACUGAAUAUUGUUUCCUAUUAUGAGAAUAUCGUCAACAUAGAUGAGUAAAUAAAUUCGAACCAAACCAUGAUUGUAAACAAAAAGAGAGGAAUUUUCUUGAGAAGCCAGGUUGUUGGAGCAGUGGGUGUUGGGGCGCCACGAGGAGUCUGAACAUCAAGAGCCAUGAGGCAAGCACUGGGAACACGGCCUUCAUAGGCAGUGUUCAUGCGAUUGUAACAGUCUAUGGCAGAAUGCCCAUUUCGGCAUCAUAUUUGGCACCUGAGGGGGGGACGAUCAAUAGAGGAGGUACCUGCACUGAGAACACUUGGACGUCAUUGAGGAGGACCUGCAACAUUGCCAUUAGGGCGAUGAGGGACACAAGCUUGUUCUCCACAGCGUGCAAAACCAGCAGGAGCAUGAACCCUACAUCUGCGGUUGGCAGCCAUGGCAGUUAUGGUAGGAACAUGAGUAUCGCCGAACAAAGUGAAUGUGAGAUAGCAUUUUUUAGCACUUAGGAGCAAUGCUUCCAACGCUGCAUAAGAAAUAGGGGUUUCACGGGCUUGGAUGGAUUCCACAGUAUUUUCAUACAAGGAUCCAACAUUGUUCAUGAUCAUAGCAAUCAAAUCAACAUUAGACAUGGGAGCACCAGACAAAGCCAAUUGAUCAGCCAAAAUAUUAAUUUUAUCCAGAAAAUUGGCAAUACUUGAUUGUGAGAAGAAGGUGCAUACUGUUCCUGCAAAGCUUUCUAAGUGUCGGCAGCACUAAUACACUUGACGACAUGCAUGACAGAAGGAGAGAGGGAGCUUGUGAGCCACGAAAGCACCAUCUGGUAUUGCUGAAUCCAGGGUUGCAUCAGUAAGUUGACCAUCAUCAUCUAGCAUAAAAGCAGGUGGACAUUUGGACGUUCUGUCAACAAAAGGCAUCAGACUUCGACUACAAAGUAAAGGGACAAACUGUGCAAGCCACAAAGGGUAAUUGUGAUGAUCAAGUUUCAAAGGUAGGAAGGUAGAAACAUUAAUCAGAGGAGUGGCAACGGAAGAGGCCAUUAAGUUUUAGAAGUUUGUCAUGAGACUGAAGAGAGGAUGAUACCAUAUAAGAAAUGUGCUCGAUAGUUUGAGUGUAUUGUAUUUGAUGUUUAUAUAGAGAUUACAAGUAGUGUUUGACUGAAGAACAAACUCUUCAAAGCAAACUAAAGAUAAUUUACAGAUAAGACAAAUAACAAAUAAUCUAUUUAAAUUCAAAGUUCAUUGAACAGCCAAAGGAUUUGACUGUUGGGAAGUUUUAGCUAAGUCUUCCUUUUGACUGAUUCGAUUUUGAUCUUCAGUGAGUGUUGCCUGGAAGCUUAGAUUUCGAACUUUGUUUAUCAUUGGAGUCGGAUCUUCGCGCGCUCUCCGCCGAAGCCCGCCAUCUCUACCCUGCUGUCAAGGACGGUGCUGAGCACGCAAUUAUAAAGGUGUCAGUCUCCAAACUCUUGUUCUUAAUGCUUGAAUGCGUGAGAAUGUAUGUAUGCAUUGUCAUUUGUGAAAAUUCAAAUGUUUGGUUGACUCGGAGGAAAUGAAGGAAAUGACUACUGAAGUUAAUGGUAUUGUGAUUUUGGAUGCCGAAGCUGAAAGAUUGUGAAAAAUAUAGCAAUGGAGUUAAGUAAUUACUGUUUCUCGGAAUUGAAGCUGAAACGGUAUCUGGUAUUAGCUAGUUGGGGAAGAUAAUUAUUUAAUCAGGAGUAAAUUUAGGUUAUAAAGUAAUGGAAUUGGAUUAUUAUUAGAGGAAGGCAGCAAAGUUUGUUUUACUAAUUUGUUGAUGUAAAACUUGCAGCUUCGUACUUUGUCGAGUCCCGGUGAGAUUGCGCGGAAUGAUAACAUACUGAGAAUCUUUUUGAUGAUUUGUGAAGUUAACACUGUGAAGCUGAGUGUUAUCGGACUUUCGUGCUUGCAAAAGCUAAUAUCUCAUGACGCUGUUGCUCAUUAUGCUAAUCCCAUUACCGUCUUAGAGUUAUUAUUAGUUUUGCUUUUUCUGACAGCAUGCCGAAAUGGCUGAUGAAAGUGUUCAACUUAAGACAUUAAAUACAUAAUUCCAUCUUCCUAAUACGGACGAGUUUUACAUCUUAUGUUGAGGCAGUAAUUCAAAGUAUAUGCUAUAGCUGAAUUUAUCCUUUAACAUAGAUUGGAUUAAGGGGGACAAUAAGGAAAAUGUGAAAUGUCAUGUGCAAGCCAAGCUUUUUAAUAUACCAUGCAAUAUCUGCUGGUGUGGAAUUCAGCAUUGGCUCAUUUGAUUUAGUUUUUUUGCCCCCGAAGGUUGAAGAGAGGAUCUCAGCAUUGGCUCAUUUGAUUUAUCAGCCUUCUCACCAUGGAAUUCCUCUCUUGCUUCUUUAGGACUUCUAUUCAUACUAGUUUGAGAAGACUCUGAAGUUGAAGACGCCUCUCGAAUGCCAACAUCAUCUUCCUUGGAAAUCUUACCUUUCCCCCCUCUUGAGUGUCUGGAUUUCUUUUCAGAAUCAUUCUUAACUGCACUUCACUCUUUUCUUGAAUCUUCAACUUAGAAAUCCCUAAUCUGCGCUUUACUCUUUUCUUGGAUCUUCAACUUGGAAAUCCCGAAUCUCCCCAACCCCACUUCGCCUUUGUCAAAACCCACAACCCCAAAAGCCCUCAAGACCCUCUCAACUUGGAGGCUGGCAGGUGGAGCUUGUGAAUCUGCACUAGACUGCUUAGGUCGAAAUCCAGGAAAACAUGUCUGAGCGUUUGGUAGGGAAGCUGGUGAUUACUUGAACCUGCAAUAGACUACAUGAGCAUUGGAAAUCUUCUCGCUUUCAGUCAACUUCUUGAGAUGCCCCUUUCCAAGGCGUAAUGGAUAAAUAAUCACCAUUUUCCUCAGGCUUUGAGCAUCCUCAAGGAUAAACCUUAUGAACUCGAUUUGGUUGGACCCGUAGAAGUGUCGAUUAAGGUCUACGGUUACGUCCUUAAGCUGAGACAGGAAAGGAAGCUUGCUUGACCUCCAGUAUUCCAUAGUAAGACCUGAACACUGAGAAGGAAGCAGGUAGAUCAAUUGCAAAGUUCCAAAAACAUAUCAAGAAACUAAUGAUAACUGUCAAACCGAACAUUUUACUUACUUCAUUUAGAAGGCAACGGGGCGGCGUCGAAGACUUCACGUCCAAGAUAGUUAAAUUAGGCAUUGCCCUAAGAAUAGGGACCAAUGCCAACACCAAUUCAAUACUAAAGUUUCCAAUUUUCAUAGAGAAAUCAAAAACGUUCUCUAAAGGUGGUAUUCCUUUCUUAAACAAAGCCUGCAGUUUAUUUAAAAAGAAGAAUUAAACAUCUCACUCUAAAUUAUGUUUCAUAUAACACUUAGCCAGAAGAGUAGUGUCUUUACCUUGAUGGUAUUGUGAUUUAGAGUUAAAGCUUUAACCCGGUGCACGCUGGUAAGGAAGUCAACUGCCUUCACAUCAGGUGACAGAUCUCUACGUAUGACAUCGGCCAAAGAAAGCUCGGCCCUUUCUAAGGUCCCGAACUGGUGGUUGACAGUAAUCCCAUCCCACUCCAAAUUCUUAAUAUCUGAAGCAAAUAUGCUUACUGUUGUACACCACUCCGAACGCCAAUCUAUGCGUACAUCUUUAAGCUUAUGACCGAUGAUUUUCAGUCGACGAACUGUCCAACUGUUGCUCGAAAUACUAAAUGAUUUUAGUGAUGAGCUCUCAAUGGUGAUAUCACCUACCCCAUUCGCUAGAUGGAUCCUACUGAUAUCAAGGUCAAGUAUUUCAACCUUGCACCUUAAAGCAUUUUCGAUCCACGAAAUAAACCGACGUCCUACCCCCUCACAAAUGCAUGGGGUUUCAUUUCCAAAAAUAUGUUCACGGACGUCGAAUCUAAUACCAAAGUGAAGGAUUCUGCUCUUCCCACGAUGGUCUAAGAACCUAUCCACAGAAUUUGACCACUUAUCACAAGUUGAUAUAUCAACUUUGGACAAAUCCAAUCUGAAACUGGGAGUUGACAAAUGGAGCUCCCUGCAGCGUUUGGAUAAACUCCCAAAGCGAGAGAGGUCUCCAAAUUGAAGCAACGAAAGGAUUCUAUGAGUAAUGUCGUCUGGAAGACUACUCAGCCUAUCCACCCUAAACUCUAGACUAACUCUCGGAACUUUUUCACUACUCUUACUUGCCCUACAAGUCUCCAUUACAGAGAGAAUGAGAGAUUUUAGCAGAUAUAUAUACGAUAUAUUUGGCUCUCCUUUUACCUGCUCGACAAAAAGUUGAAUAUCAGAGUGCGGAACAAACAAGACUACAAAAUAAUAGGAAUUUUAUUGAACAAAUUGAGAAUGCCGAAACGGCUACAAAAACCCUAGAGACUACAUUGUGAAUGACUUGAUUUCAAACUAAAUUCCAAGCUCUAUUUAUAGAGCAAUAAACCUAAGAAACCCUAAUACACAAAUGCCAAAAAUACCCUACUACAAAAUCAAAUCAAAUCUCCAAUUAAUUUCCUAAAUAAACCUAAUAAAUUCCAACACCCCCCGUCAAACUCAUGGUGGUACACGUCAUGAGGUUGCCAACAAGCAGAUGCGGUUGCAAGACUUCAUUAUGCUAAUUUCCGAUGCCAAUUUCAAUAUGGAAUUUCACCGGUGCCAAUGCAAGAUUCCAAUGCCAGUGCCAGUGCAAGAUUUCCAUGCCAAUGCCAGUGCAAGAUUUCCAUGCCAAUUGCGAACUUUCGAACCAACUUCAUGACAAACUGAUACGCAGCGGACAAACGGAUGAACAAAUUGAUACCCAUCUAGAACAGAUUAAAUUCCGAAGAAUCAAACCUGCUCUGAUACCAAGUUGAAUAUCAGAGUGCGGAACAAACAAGACUACAAAAUAAUAGGAAUUUUAUUGAACAAAUUGAGAAUGCCGAAACGGCUACAAAAACCUUAGAGACUACAUUGUGAAUGACUUGAUUUCAAAUGAAUAACAAAGCACCCUAUUUAUAAUAAACUAACCCUAAUCUCUAACAAAACCUAAUUCUAACGUGCUAAGCCCAAAAUACCAAACAUUAAAAUAAACUAAAUAAUAAUAUUUUCCAACACCCCCGUCAAACUUAUGGCGGUACACGACAUGAGUUUGCCAACAGAAGAUGUGGAUGCAAAACUCCAAAUUCCAGUGCUAAUGUCAAUGCCAAUGCAGAUGUAGAUGCCGAUGCAAAUUCCGAUGCCGAACAAACAAAAAAAAAAAUCCAACCAAAUAUACCAUAUUUCUUUCUUUCUUCUCUUUUCUUCUGGGCGAAACCGAUUGCAGCAGACAAGGCUUGCAAAACCAAUUGCAGCAAGCUUCAAAACUUCUAGUGCAAAGUCAACCUGCAGAAGGGGACUUCAUAGGGUUGUGAUAGAUCCGACUGGUAGGAGUCGGUGCGGGUACCGUGAACAGGUGGAUGUAGGAGCGGAGAUGCGGAGAUGGUGGUGCGGGUUGUCUGGACAUAUUGCAGUGCGGUGGUGGUGACAAGAAUGGCUUCGACUACGGAUGAGCGGAAGACGACGGACGAAACUAAUACCCAGUAAACUGACAAACAAAACUGAUACAAACAAAUGGACACUAAUCAAGAACAGAUUAAAUCCCAAAGGAUCAAACCUGCUCUGAUACCAAGUUGAAUAUCAGAGUGCGGAACAAACAAGACUACAAAAUAAUAGGAAUUUUAUUGAACAAAUUGAGAAUGCCGAAACGGCUACAAAAACCCUAGAGACUACAUUGUGAAUGACUUGAUUUCAAACUAAAUUCCAAGCUCUAUUUAUAGAGCAAUAAACCUAAGAAACCCUAAUACACAAAUGCCAAAAAUACCCUACUACAAAAUCAAAUCAAAUCUCCAAUUAAUUUCCUAAAUAAACCUAAUAAAUUCCAACACAAAAUAACACAGUAUAAGGAUACCUUUGCUAGCCGGAGGAGAGACACAGAGAGAAAGAAGAGAGGGGACGAAAAGCUUACCUUUGCUUAACAGCGGCCAGAGGGUGAAGACGGUAAGCUUGUUUUGAAGGAUUUGCGAUGAGCUUUACACUUCGUUUUGCAAGAAAAAAGAUAAGAAAAUAUGCUUCGAGAGGGGUUGUCUUUCAGGAGUUAAAAAGUCAAAGGUGAAUAAAUAAUAAAUAUGCAUUAAAUAAUAUUAAAUAAUAUAAAAUAAUAUAUAUAUAUAUAUUAAAUAAUAUAAAAUAUUACUAUACAUGUAUUAAUUAAUAUAAUAUUAUAAUUCCUUAAUUAUCUUGUUUUUUAAUCCGACACUACAUUAAAUGAUUCGCUAAGUUAGUCCAGCUUAGUUUAGUUUAAACCAGUGGUGAAGCUACAAAAGGUUUGAGACGGGUGGCCGCUCAUCAUCCUCUCAUUGGAAAUCAAGCUCAGGAACAACAGUCCACCUCUCUGAUGUCAUCGAAAAACCUGCAAGGUGAAGUCAUGGCUGCUGUAGGCUGCAUAUCUUUGUAGCAGCCGCGUUUUCUUUUGUUAUAAACAAGUCCGUGAAAAUGACGAUCAUUUCGUUUGCCUUUAAAACUGUAAAAAUAAUAAAUGUUGGAUGACGUCGUUUGGGCAUAAUAAAUAACAAAAAAAUAAACACAAGGGGGGCCACUCGUCCCAAUUAACCCUCACAUAUUCACUUCCCCAAUUCCUACCCCCACUGUCGUGCCUUGUGCCUUUUUUAAAUUUAAAUAAUCAAUUCCUAAUUUAACAUAAAUGUUUGCUCAAUUGACUUUCUUUAUAAGAAUUAUAAUGUAAUAUGGGUAUUGAUUAUUGAUAUGAAUCAUAUGAUUAUUGAUAUGAAUCAUAUAAUUAUUGAUGAAUAAGUGGAUAUGUUUGUUCCCGCUUCCUCAAUUCUUCCACCAUGAUCUCACACUGACUAAUCACGCAACGCUGCAAUCCAUUCCUUCCCCGAGGAACUCUAUCCGGCAAUGGCUUUCACGGCGGUUUUGGAGUCGGAUCUUCGCGCGCUCUCCGCCGAAGCCCGCUGUCGCUACCCUGCCGUCAAGGACGGCACUGAGCACGCAAUUAUCAAGGUGUCAUUCUCCAAACUCCUGUUCUUAAUGCUUGAAUGCGUGAGAAUGUAUGUAUGCUUUGUCAUUGGUGAAAAUUCAAAUGUUUGGUUGACUCGGAGGAAAUGAAGGAAAUGACUACUGAAGUUAAUGGUAUUGUGAUUUUUGGAUGCCGAAGCUGAAAGAGUUACUGUGGAAAGUACUUACUGUUUCUCGGAAUUGAAGCUGAAACGGUAUCUGGUAUUAGCUAGUUGGGGAAGAUAAUUAUUUAGCCAGGAGUAAACUUAGGUUACAAAGUAAUGGAAUUGGACUAUUAUUAGAGGAAAGCAGCAAAGUUUGUUUUAUUAAUUUGUUGAUGUAAAACUUGCAGCUUCGUACUUUGUCGAGUCCCGGUGAGAUUGCGCAGAAUGAUAGCAUACUGAGAAUCUUUUUGAUGGUUUGUGAAGUUAAUGUUGGAUAGUGGCCAAAUUAGUGGCCAAGUAGACAACAAGUCAAAUGUCUUUCGGCUAGUAAACUAAACAAAGAAAAGUUUAGUGUACAUCAUCAUGAGUAAAGACACAAUGAUGAUGUUUGUUAAAAAGAAAAAUGAAGGUUAUGGUCCUUUACUUUGGAUUUUUUAUCGGAUGCUUUUAUAUGGAUAAAGGUUGUAGCCGAAUGUGGGAGAGAUGGGGGAGCGGCAUCAGAUGAGAGCCAUACCAAGGAAAGCGUUCGGCUCCCCCAUUUGAAACAGUGCUGCUCAUUCCCAUUUGUUUGUAAUCCCCCUUUGUUAGUUAUCCCUAAUCAAAGAUGUUGCUGCUACAUGUUGUGUAGCUUUUGGAAGAUAUGGUAUCUGAUGUUUGUCCAUCUUCUCCAAUUGUUCAGUGAGAGCUAUUGGAUGUACGUGGGAUUUGGGUUUAAGAGUUAAAACUCUAUUUGUAAUCUCCUUUUGAAUUAGUGGAAUUUCCUCGCCGUCUCGGAACGGAACGUAGGCUUACGCCGAACUAGUAUAAAUCCUUGUGUCAUUUGGAUUAUUUGUCUUAUCAUAUUUUGACGUUGUAACUUAUUGGUUUCAUAUUUGACGUUCCGCACAACAGUUAAAACUGUGAAGCUGAGUGUUAUCGGACUUUGGUGAUUAAAAAAGCUAAUAUCCCAUGGCUAGUCCCAUUACCGUCUUAAAGUUAUUAGUUUUGCUUUUUCUGACAGCAUGCCGAAAUGGCUGAUGAAAGUGUUCAACUUAAGACUCUGCAGACUGUAUUAAUCAUAUUGCAGUCACCAUUACAUCCGGAGACAGAGGUAAGAAGCAUUAAAUACAUAAUUCCAUCUUCCUAAUACGGACGAGUUUUACAUCUUAUGCUGAGGCAGUAAUUCAUAGUAUAUGCCAUAGCUGGAUUUAUAUCCUUUAACAUAGAUUGGAUAAAGGGGGACAAUAAGGAAAAUGUGAAAUGUCAUGUGCAAGCCAAGCUUUUUAAUAUACCAUGCAAUAUCUGCUAGUGUGGAAUUCUUAGAUUUCCAUACAUUGAUAAAAAAAAUGGCAUCCACCUCACUGGAGGAUGAACACACAUUUUGUUACUCAAAAUACAUACCAGCGAAAUCAUUAUGCAACAGUUAUACAGUUUCAGACAAACCAGUGAAAAAAGUAGGGUUUUAUAAUCUUAUAUAUAAUCAUUUCAUCAAAUUUCUCCUUGAGUACUUACUACUACUUGCUAAUGUGUCAGUGGGUGUUGGUCUAUGUGAUUGCUCAAAAAAGUUUGUCUUUUGAACUUUUCUACUGGAUAUGGUAAUGCCAUACCAUUUACGGGCACUGAGAGAUAUUGCUGACCAUAUUACAAGAAAGACACUUCACUUCAUCCAUUAACUCAGCUUCAUUUUCCAUUUUGUCAUUGAAUUCUUAUUAUCUUCUGGAAAACAACCGGUCCUCUGAUAGUUUGCUGUCCCUGGUCAUAUUAUGUUGUUAGCCAUUAUAGCUGGCAUUUGAAUCUGUUGGUAUGUCCUGAGAUGGAUUGAUUGGACUCCAUACGUUUUACAUGCAAAGUCAUAUUUUCAUUCCUACAGUUAUGGGCAUGUUCUAUUCCUGAAACUUGCCACUCCCAAGGGAUGCAUGCCACAUCUUGUUAGUAAUUCUUUUCCAGCGAGAUUACUCUGGAGCUUUCAGUGCUCUAUCUUGUCAGCUUGCAUCUACCCUCAACUAAAAUGUGAACGAUCUACAGAAAAAUGUGCUUUUUAUGAGAAUAAGGCACAUUUUUCUGUUUGGAGAAGUAAUUUCAUAAUGUAAUCACUUUCUAGGUUCUAUUUUUAACUGCAGAGCUAAAGGUAAUCACUUUCUAGGUUCUAUUUUUAACAAUUGAAUUGACAUUAACCAGAACGUGCAAGGAUAGCUAUGGUUUUCUUCGAAACUGAAUAUAAGUAAAUAUAAUACAUGUAAAAUCAACACAUGGAAAGUAGCCCCUAUGAACUAAAAAGUUGAAAAGAUAUCUUUUCCAGUCCUGGUUCAUCACGCAUCAUAGUACCUACUAAAUACAUUUAAACCAAACAAUGACAUACCAGCACCAUUGACAUCAGAUUCUCCAGAUGCAACAGCUUCUGCUGCCUGCCUCAAUUCCAUGGCCAAGAAUUCUGCAGAUUCCAAACGUUCAUCAUGUUGCCAUUACAAAUUCCCUAAUACACCAGAACCCUCUUUGGCACCUUGCACUUCUCUCGCAAACAUUUUUACUCUUGGUGCUAUCAUUCUUCUCAUCAGACCCAGUAAGUAACAGAGCAACCGGCUUCAUUUUCCGCUGAAGGUUUAAGAAAAGGUUUGUGGAUACCGCCAAAUGUAUCAUAACCAUUCAUUCUAUGUUCCACCUUCUCGUCAGCCCAAGUAACAGAGCGAUUAAAUUUUUUUGCCCCCGAAGGUUUAAGAGAGGAUCUCAGCAUUGGCUCAUUUGAUUUAUCAGCCUUCUCACCAUGGAAUUCCUCUCUUGCUUCUUUAGGACUUCUAUACAUAAUAGUUUGAGAAGACUCUAAAGUUGAAGACGCCUCCCGAAUGCCAACAUCAUCUUCCUUGGAAAUCUUACUUUUCCCCCCUCUUGAGUGUCUGGAUUUCUUUUCAGAAUCAUUCUUAACUGCACUUCACUCUUUUCUUGAAUCUUCAACUUAGAAAUCCCCAAUCUGCACUUUGCUCUUUUCUUGGAUCUUCAACUUGGAAAUCCAAAUCUCCCCCAAGCCCACUUCGCCUUUGUCAAAACCAUAUCCCCAAAAGCCCUCAAGACCCUCUCAACGUGCAGGCUAAGCAGGUGGGGCUUGUAAAUCUGCACCAUACUGCUUACGUCGAAAUACAGGAAACCAUAUCUGAGCGUUUGGUAGGGAAACUGGUGAUUACUUGAACCUGCGAUAGACUAUGCGAGCAUUGGAAGUCUUCUCACUUUCAUUCAACCUCUUCAGAUGCCCCUUUCCAAGGCCUAAUGGAUGAAUAAUCACCAUUUUCCUCAGGCUUUGAGCAUCCUCAAGGAUAAACCUUAUGAACUCGAUUUGGUUGGUCCCGUAGAAGUGUCGAUUAAGGUCUACGGUUACCUCCUUAAGCUGAGAGAGGAAAGGAAGGUUGCUUGACCUCCAGUAUUCCAUAGUAAGACCUGAACACUGAGAAGGAAGCAGGUAGAUCAAUUGCAAAGUUCCAAAAACAUAUCAAGAAACUAAUGAUAAUUGUCAAACCGAACAUUUUACUUACUUCAUUUAGAAUGCAACGGGGCGGCGAAGACUUCACGUCCAAGAUAGUUAAAUUAGGCAUUGCCCUAAGAAUAGGGACCAAUGCCAACACCAAUUCAAUACUAAAGUUUCCAAUUUUCAUAGAGAAAUAAAAAACGUUCUCUAAGGGCGGUAUUCCUUUCUUGAACAAAGCCUGCAGUUUAUUUAAAAAGAAGAAUUAAACAUCUCACUCUAAAUUAUGUUUCGUAUAACACUUAGCCUGAAGAGUAGUGUCUUUACCUUGAUGGUAUUGUGAUUUAGAGUUAAAGCUUUAACCCGGUGCACGCUGGUAAGGAAGUCAACUGCCUUCACAUCAGGUGAUAGAUCUCUACGUAUUAUAUCGGCCAAAGAAAGCUCAGCCCUUUCUAAGGUCCCGAGCUGGUGGUUGACAGUAAUCCCAUCCCACUCCAAAUUCUUGACAUCUGAAGCAAAUAUGCUUACUGUUGUACACCACUCCGAACGCCAAUCUAUGCGUACAUCUUCAAGCUUAUGACCGAUGAUUUUAAGUCGACGAACUGUCCAACUGUUGCUCGAAAUACUAAAUGAUUUUAGUGAUGAG